rnacentral:lncRNA from 1 species
GAAUACUUCAUUGUUACCAUCUUGAACUUUUUAUUGAACUUAAAAGAUAUCAGUCCUGCUUCGUGCUUGUAUCGAUGUUCUUUACAUUUUAUUUUUUAAAGCUUUUUGACAAUGGAAGAAAAACAGAUACAUGAAUGAUGCAAUUCUGAGCUUCUCUGCUAUCUCUGCUUGUAUUGGCAAUGGCAGCCUCCUCUAUAACUCUCGACUUUAUUCCUCCUCAGAUAACUGCUAAUGAUAGAGGGAUGGUGAGAAACCAUCAAGAUAACUUUUUAAAAAAUUCUUUUUGGUAACU